CAAUAGCGUAUAUUAAAGUUGUUGCAGUUAAAAAGCUCGUAGUUGGAUUUCGGGGCAGCCUGGCUGGUCCGCCGCAAGGCGAGUACUGGUCAGCCGCCCUUCCUCUCGAAAGCCCCGACUGCUCUUUAUUGCAGUGGUCGGGUAGUUCGGGACGUUUACUUUGAAAAAAUUAGAGUGUUCAAGGCAGGCCUACGCCUGAAUACAUUAGCAUGGAAUAAUGGAAGAGGACCUCGGUCCUAUUUUGUUGGUUUCCAGGACCGAAGUAAUGAUUAAGAGGGACAGUUGGGGGCAUUCGUAUUUAAUUGUCAGAGGUGAAAUUCUCGGAUUUAUGAAAGACGAACAACUGCGAAAGCAUUAGCCAAGGAUGUUUUCAUUAA
rnacentral:rRNA from 1 species